AGAACGAACGCUGGCGGCAUGCCUAAUACAUGCAAGUCGAACGAACACUUCGGUGUUAGUGGCGCACGGGUGCGUAACGCGUGGGAAUCUGCCCUUGGGUUCGGAAUAACAGUUGGAAACGACUGCUAAUACCGGAUGAUAUCGAAAGAUCAAAGAUUUAUCGCCCAGGGAUGAGCCCGCGUAGGAUUAGCUAGUUGGUGAGGUAAAGGCUCACCAAGGCGACGAUCCUUAGCUGGUCUGAGAGGAUGAUCAGCCACACUGGGACUGAGACACGGCCCAGACUCCUACGGGAGCAGCAGUAGGGAAUAUUGGACAAUGGGCGCAAGCCUGAUCCAGCAAUGCCGCGUGAGUGAUGAAGGCCUUAGGGUGUAAAGUCUCUUUACCGAGAUGAUAAUGACAGUAUCGGAA
rnacentral:rRNA from 1 species